rnacentral:rRNA from 1 species
UGCAGCCGCGGUAAUUCCAGCUCCAAUAGCGUAUAUUAAAGUUGUUGCAGUUAUAAAGCUCGUAGUUGAAUUUCGGGGUUCUACCGUUGGUCGGGCAAUUGUCUGUACUGGCGUGUGGAAUUUCUACCUUCUGGGGAACUAUCAUGUUAUUAAUUUAGCGUGGUGGGAAACCAGGACCUUUACCUUGAAAAAAUUAGAGUGUUUAAAGCAGGCUCACGCUUGAAUACAUUAGCAUGGAAUAAUGAAAUAGGACAUCCGAUUCUAUUUUGUUGGUUUCUAGGAUCGAUGUAAUGAUUAAUAGGGAUAGUUGGGGGCAUUAGUAUUCAAUUGUCAGAGGUGAAAUUCUUGGAUUUAU